ACUCCUACGGGAGGCAGCAGUGGGGAAUAUUGGACAAUGGGGGCAACCCUGAUCCAGCCAUGCCGCGUGUAUGAAGAAGGCCCUCGGGUUGUAAAGUACUUUCAGUGGUGAGGAAGGUUGCGUGGUUAAUACCUACGUAAUUUGACGUUAGCCACAGAAGAAGCACCGGCUAACUCCGUGCCAGCAGCCGCGGUAAUACGGAGGGUGCAAGCGUUAAUCGGAAUUACUGGGCGUAAAGCGCAUGCAGGCGGUUAAUUAAGCCAGAUGUGAAAGCCCCGGCUCAAGCCUGGGAAAUUG
rnacentral:rRNA from 1 species